AUGGAGUUUCAGCACUGGGAACUGAGAUUGAAAUAUCACAUGCCAGCAAAGAAAAAGAUCCUGUUGUGUGCCUUGUGCUUCUUUUUGGGUUGGAUGCCUCUGAGAGAGAUGAAGAGCGGGCAGCUGGUGCUUGAGGAAAGGCAAGAUUUCAGAUCUGUGUCCUCCACUUGGUUGGGGAUAUUCAUAGUACAGUUCAUACAUAACAUUAUUAAGAGCCAGGUGCCUGAAGGACCAAGAGGAGGCUCCUGUGAUUGUAAGAAACCAGGCAGCCAACCUGACAGAGCUCCCAGUCUGCCAAAACCCACUGGACACCUCCUGCUCUCUGAGGCAAGGACUGCAGCCCUCAGAGUGCUCUGUCUGGUAUAACACAUCUGAAAAUAUCCCAGCCCUUCAAUAUAUUUUGUCUUUUUUAGCAAGUUCAUUAUAAGAAUUUGUGACAUGCUGUCAAAGUCUUGCUGUGAGUACUUGGCUUUUUUUUUUUUCCCCUCCUCUCUCUCUUAAUUUAGGUCUUGCAGCUAUCUGUAGAAAUUUUCUUGUCCCAUAUCCAGUGUCACUAAGUUCAUGUAUUCAGUGGUAGUUUAGCUAAGGCAAUAUCACUUCUGAAUUGUAAGCAUAGAUAGUUUCCCUUGAUCGUCUACUUUCAACUGUCCUAAUGAUGUUUUGUCUAUAUAAUUUUAAUUUGUCUGGUUUUCUGUUUUGUUUCCUUCUUUUCCACAGUGCUGGGGAUGUCUCUGUAGUCUGUUGCAUUCACUGAUGUCCCGCUGUCUAUUUGGCAUGCCAUUUACUAUUUGUGUGCUGCUUUGUCUUUGCAUCUGGUGCUUCCCUGAGCUUUCCAAAACAUUUUUUUUCCAUUUUGCACUGCAUUAAUAUCAUCCAUUAACAGCCACAUUCUCUGAGCUGCUACUUGUUUCCUUGAUAUAUUCCAAAAUUAUUACUUUGAUUUAAGUUUUGGCAUAAUGAUAUCUCUUGUUGCAGUUAUGGUUAGUAAGUUGGUAUAUAGAAUACUCUAUUUCAAGGCCAGAUUUGCCACAAGCUGUGUAGAAGAUACUAAUAAAUUUCUAGCACUACUGAUAGGGCA
rnacentral:lncRNA from 1 species